rnacentral:rRNA from 1 species
GGUGAACGCUGGCGGCGUGCCUAAUACAUGCAAGUCGAGCGAACAGACGAGGAGCUUGCUCCUCUGACGUUAGCGGCGGACGGGUGAGUAACACGUGGAUAACCUACCUAUAAGACUGGGAUAACUUCGGGAAACCGGAGCUAAUACCGGAUAAUAUAUUGAACCGCAUGGUUCAAUAGUGAAAGACGGUUUUGCUGUCACUUAUAGAUGGAUCCGCGCCGCAUUAGCUAGUUGGUAAGGUAACGGCUUACCAAGGCAACGAUGCGUAGCCGACCUGAGAGGGUGAUCGGCCACACUGGAACUGAGACACGGUCCAGACUCCUACGGGAGGCAGCAGUAGGGAAUCUUCCGCAAUGGGCGAAAGCCUGACGGAGCAACGCCGAGUGAGUGAUGAAGGUCUUCGGAUCGUAAAACUCUGUUAUUAGGGAAGAACAAAUGUGUAAGUAACUAUGCACGUCUUGACGGUACCUAAUCAGAAAGCCACGGCUAACUACGUG